UACGUAGGUGGCAAGCGUUGUCCGGAUUUACUGGGCGUAAAGAGCGCGCAGGCGGUCGGUCAAGUCGCGUGUGAAAGCCCCCGGCUCAACUGGGGAGGGUCACGCGAUACUGAUCGACUCGAAGGCAGGAGAGGGUAGUGGAAUUCCCGGUGUAGUGGUGAAAUGCGCAGAUAUCAGGAGGAACACCGGUGGCGAAGGCGGGUCUCUGGGCCGAUACUGACGCUGAGGAGCGAAAGCGUGGGGAGCGAACAGG
rnacentral:rRNA from 1 species